AUGAUCUCUACAUCCCUCCUGCUGCUGCUGCUGGCAGCCGUACACUGUGUUCACUGUGUUGAGCUGAUCCAGACCGGAUCCACAGUAUUAACCCCUGGUCAGUCACUGACUCUGACCUGUAAAGUGUCUGGAUAUUCAUUAACUGAUAGCAGCUACGCUACACACUGGAUCCGACAACCUGCAGGAAAAACUCUGGAGUGGAUCGGAGGUAUAUGGUCUGCUGGGAGCACUUACUACAGUGAAAAACUGAAAAGCAGGUUUCAGGUUUCCAGAGACACGUCCAGCAGCACAGUAACAUUAACAGGGCAGAACAUGCAGACUGAAGACACAGCUGUGUAUUACUGCGCUUUGAUGAUGUUCCUGGAACUGGAAGAGGUUGCACUCCACUACCAGCAGCCAGCAGAGGGGGCAGCGGUGCACAGUGAGAGCAGCCAAGCAGGAGAAAUCAGUUACCCAGAAUUCUCCAGACUGAUUAACCUGAACUGCCUGCACCUGCCAGGAAGGUUACUUCAGGCCAACUUUGGACGCAGCCCUUGUUGA